UCGAGAAUCUUCGGCAAUGGGCGCAAGCCUGACCGAGCGACGCCGCGUGCGGGAUGAAGGCCUUCGGGUUGUAAACCGCUGUCGAAGGGGAUGAAGUUCCGGAGGGUUCUCUCUCCGGAUUGACAGAUCCUUGGAGGAAGGACGGGCUAAGUUCGUGCCAGCAGCCGCGGUAAUACGAACCGUCCAAACGUUAUUCGGAAUCACUGGGCUUACAGAGUUCGUAGGCGGCGGAGAAAGUAGGGUGUGAAAGCCCUCGGCUCAACCGAGGAAUAGCGCCCUAAACUACUUCGCUUGAGGAGGCUAGAGGUGAGCAGAACAGAUGGUGGAGCGGUGAAAUGCGUUGAUAUCAUCUGGAAUACCGGAGGCGAAGGCGGCUCACUGGGACCUUUCUGACGCUGAGGACGAAAGCUAGGGUAGCGAACGGGAUUAGAUACCCCCGGUAGUCCCUAGCCGUAAACGAUGAGCACUAGACCGGAGAUCUGCACAGGUUUUCGGCGUAGCGAAAG
rnacentral:rRNA from 1 species